AGAGGAAAGAGAAGGACGUACAGAUGCGUAGAGAAAUUUUUUAUAUAUCUACUGUGUCGGUUUCGAUACUUGAUCUUGAGGACCUCUGCGUGAUAAAAUUAUAGUCACUCUCUCGGGGUCGGAAUAGCGGAAGUUUGGGAUCGUAAGGACUCGCAAUGUCGCAUAUCGCCUGAUACCAAACGUCUUCGAAGCGAGAUCAACGACACUAUUGCGCAUCGGCGUUUAUUUGCCAGAUAACGAUAACAACGUGGAGGAGGCCACGCGAUCGGCGAUCACGAGCAUGACGGCUGAUUCGCGCGGGUGCCGCGCGCGCGAAUCAUCUUCGGGUACAACGAUAAACGCGAGAUAUUGCGGAGAACCAGAAAUAAACGAAUUUAUUUUGGAGUGCAAUCACCCUCGAAAAAGACGACGCAUAUCCCUGGCCCAAUAAAGCGAUGACAAAACGGAGGACGCGAGCGAGAAAGGAAGAAAGGAAAAAUAGGAGCUUGUGCACAAUGUCCUGUAAUUAUGUCACCCGAAAAGAAAACACAAGCUUAGGACACACACAUAUGAGUCAUUGGAUCUGCACAAAACGUGAAACGAAGAGAGGAAUACAACGCACAUCCGCGAAGAUGCAGAAAAGAAUAAAAGGAGACACCGAGUAAAAGAGAGGAAGAAAGAAAAGA